rnacentral:rRNA from 1 species
UGGGGAAUUUUGCGCAAUGGGGGAAACCCUGACGCAGCAAUGCCGCGUGGAGGAAGAAGGCUUUCGAGUCGUAAACUCCUGUCCUCGGGGACGAAGGAAGUGACGGUACCCGGGGAGGAAGCCCCGGCUAACUCCGUGCCAGCAGCCGCGGUAAUACGGGGGGGGCAAGCGUUGUUCGGAAUUACUGGGCGUAAAGGGCGCGUAGGCGGCCGCAGCAGUUCUGGGUGAAAGCCCCCGGCUCAACCGGGGAAGGUCCUGGAAAACCAUGCGGCUGGAGUGCUGGAGAGGCCAGCGGAAUUUCGGGUGUAGCGGUGAAAUGCGUAGAUAUCCGAAGGAACAUCGGAGGCGAAGGCGGCUGGCUGGACAGACACUGACGCUGAGGCGCGAAAGCCAGGGGAGCAAACGGGAUUAGAUACCCCGGUAGUCCUGGCCGUAAACGAUGGGUACUUGGUGUGUGGGGUGGAGAAAGUCCCUACGUGCCGGCGAUAACUCGUUAAGUACCCCGCCUGGGGAGUACGAUCGCAAGAUUG